UAGGGAAUCUUUGGCAAUGGACGGAAGUCUGACCGAGCAACGCCGGGUGAGUGAAGAAGGUUGUCGGAUCGUAAAGCUAUGUUGUUAGAGAAGAACGAUGGUAGGAGUGGAAAAUCUACCAAGUGACGGUAACUAACCAGAAAGGGACGGCUAACUACGUGCCAGCAGCCGCGGUAAUACGUAGGUCCCGAGCGUUGUCCGGAGUUAUUGGGCGUAAAGCGAGCGCAGGCGGUUCUUUAAGUCUGAAGUUAAAGGCAGUGGCUUAACCAUUUUACGCUUUGGAAACUGGAGGACUUGAGUGCAGAAGGGGAGAGUGAAAUUCCAUGUGUAGCGGUGAAAUGCGUAGAUAUAUUGCGGAACCCCGGUGGCAAAAGCGGCUCUCUGGUCUGUAUCUGACGCUGAGGCUCGAAAGCGUGGGGAGCAAACAGU
rnacentral:rRNA from 1 species